AGCGAACGCUGGCGGCAGGCCUAACACAUGCAAGUCGAACGAACCUUUCGGGGUUAGUGGCGGACGGGUGAGUAACACGUGGGAACGUGCCUUUAGGUUCGGAAUAACUCAGGGAAACUUGUGCUAAUACCGAAUGUGCCCUUCGGGGGAAAGAUUUAUCGCCUUUAGAGCGGCUCGCGUCUGAUUAGCUGGUUGGUUGGGGUAUUGGCUCACCAAGGCGACGAUCAGUAGCUGGUAUGAGAGGAGGAUCAGCCACAUUGGGACUGGGACACGGCCCAAACUCGUAGGGGAGGCAGCAGGGGGGAAUCUUGCGCAAGGGGCGAAAGCCUGACGCAGCCAUGCCGGGUGAAUGAUGAAGGGCUUAGGAUUGUAAAAUUCUUUCGCCGGGGAGGAUAAGGAGGGUACCGGGAGAAGAAGCCCGGGCUAACUUCGU
rnacentral:rRNA from 1 species